rnacentral:rRNA from 1 species
UACGUAGGGUGCAAGCGUUAAUCGGAAUUACUGGGCGUAAAGCGUGCGCAGGCGGUUUUGUAAGUCAGAUGUGAAAUCCCCCGGGCUUAACCUGGGAACUGCGUUUGAAACUACAAGGCUAGAGUGUGGCAGAGGGGGGUGGAAUUCCACGUGUAGCAGUGAAAUGCGUAGAGAUGUGGAGGAACACCGAUGGCGAAGGCAAUCCCCUGGGCCUGCACUGACGCUCAUGCACGAAGCGUGGGGAGCAAACAGG